UACAGAGGUCCCAAGCGUUGUUCGGAUUCACUGGGCGUAAAGGGUGCGUAGGUGGCCGGGUAAGUUCGGUGUGAAAGCUCGGAGCUCAACUCCGAAAUGGCAUUGAAUACUAUCCGGCUUGAGGGUCGGAGGGGAGACUGGAAUUCUCGGUGUAGCAGUGAAAUGCGUAGAUAUCGAGAGGAACACCAGUGGCGAAGGCGAGUCUCUGGACGACUCCUGACACUGAGGCACGAAAGCUAGGGGAGCAAACAGG
rnacentral:rRNA from 1 species